rnacentral:rRNA from 1 species
UGCAAGUCGAACGCUUUGUGGUUCAACUGAUUUGAAGAGCUUGCUCAGAUAUGACGAUGGACAUUGCAAAGAGUGGCGAACGGGUGAGUAACACGUGGGAAACCUACCUCUUAGCAGGGGAUAACAUUUGGAAACAGAUGCUAAUACCGUAUAACAAUGACAACCGCAUGGUUGUUAUUUAAAAGAUGGUUCUGCUAUCACUAAGAGAUGGUCCCGCGGUGCAUUAGCUAGUUGGUAAGGUAAUGGCUUACCAAGGCGAUGAUGCAUAGCCGAGUUGAGAGACUGAUCGGCCACAAUGGGACUGAGACACGGCCCAUACUCCUACGGGAGGCAGCAGUAGGGAAUCUUCCACAAUGGGCGAAAGCCUGAUGGAGCAACGCCGCGUGUGUGAUGAAGGGUUUCGGCUCGUAAAACACUGUUGUAAGAGAAGAAUGACAUUGAGAGUAACUGUUCAAUGUGUGACGGUAUCUUACCAGAAAGGAACGGCUAAAUACGUGCCAGCAGCCGCGGUAAUACGUAUGUUCCAAGCGUUAUCCGGAUUUAUUGGGCGUAAAGCGAGCGCAGACGGUUAUUUAAGUCUGAAGUGAAAGCCCUCAGCUCAACUGAGGAAUUGCUUUGGAAACUGGAUGACUUGAGUGCAGUAGAGGAAAGUGGAACUCCAUGUGUAGCGGUGAAAUGCGUAGAUAUAUGGAAGAACACCAGU